rnacentral:rRNA from 1 species
UACGUAGGGUGCAAGCGUUGUCCGGAAUUAUUGGGCGUAAAGAGCUCGUAGGCGGUCUGUCGCGUCUGCUGUGAAAACUCAGGGCUUAACCCUGAGCUUGCAGUGGGUACGGGCAGACUGGAGUGCGGUAGGGGAGAAUGGAAUUCCUGGUGUAGCGGUGGAAUGCGCAGAUAUCAGGAGGAACACCGGUGGCGAAGGCGGGUCUCUGGGCAGUAACUGACGCUGAGGAGCGAAAGCGUGGGGAGCGAACAGG